rnacentral:miRNA from 1 species
GGUGUCGUCUUGCUGGAAGAGUGUGUCACUGGGUGUAGGCUUUGAGAGUUCUUAAGCCAGAUUUCCAGUCACUCUCUGCUUCCUGUGCCUGC